AGAGUUUGAUCAUGGCUCAGGAUGAACGCUAGCUACAGGCUUAACACAUGCAAGUCGAGGGGAAACGACAUCGAAAGCUUGCUUUUGAUGGGCGUCGACCGGCGCACGGGUGAGUAACGCGUAUCCAACCUGCCCACCACUUGGGGAUAACCUUGCGAAAGUAAGACUAAUACCCAAUGAUAUCUCUAGAAGACAUCUGAAAGAGAUUAAAGAUUUAUCGGUGAUGGAUGGGGAUGCGUCUGAUUAGCUUGUUGGGCGGGGUAACGGGCCCACCAAGGCGACGAUCAGUAGGGGUUCUGAGAGGAAGGUCCCCCCACAUUGGAACUGAGACACGGUCCAAACUCCUACGGGAGGCCA
rnacentral:rRNA from 1 species